UUUAUUAUUCUCUAUUCUCAAAAUACUAUUAAAAUCUCAUCAUCUUUAUAACCCAUAUCAUCAUCAUUAUCAUUAUCAUACAAAUAAUAAACCAAAGACAAAAUAGGAGUGAGUGCUUGUAUUUGACAGGACUUUCAACAUAUAAAUGCAAAAAACAAUUCUUCUGACGCCCGUAUGGGUUGUAUGUUCAAUGGAUAUAGACCUCAACGGCACCGCUCAAUUGAUGAGCCUCGAGACGACUGGAAACGGUGAAACAUCUUUGUUCAUGUGUAUAAAGAACUGAAACGAUACUAUUUAAAUGCUGUAGGGCAUGUAGUUAUGAAUUCUUCACAUGCACAUGUGUGUCAUGUGAAAAAAUGCAAAUUUAUUCAUAACAAUAAGACGUCAUGUAUAUAUCUCAAAUAAAGAGUUACUGUUUGAAUAAACUGAUCCCGGCCGAUGCCCAAAGUGCACACAGGACGCCCCCAAUGCCCAUCAAUCACGCUAACUUAAAUAUUAUCAAUUAACAAUUGUGAAACAUUAAUUUGUUCAAAGAAGCUGCUAAUAUCUGCAAGAUUCAUUCAUCACCACCAAUCAAGAGAAGUGUACAUGACUUCACGUACACCCCAUACAAUAAUCAGUAGUAAUAAACGAUUCAGGUAAAACCGCGAGCGGGAUACGCAACCCUACUGCCAUUUUUGUUUUCUUAUUUUUUUCUUUUAAUGGCAGGGGGACGUAUGAGGACCCAUGGCUCAAGACCGGUGUCUAGGUGCCUUCAUCACCUCCCGAAACCUCUAAUUUUAGAGAAAUCUACAAAUAAGCAGCUAUUAUUAUACUGUAAACAUUAAGUAUUAUUUAGUAUAAAAUGUAAUUAAAACAUUAUCAAUUUCAUUGCGCAAAUUAACAUAACAAACAAACAUCAAAAGCAUCCCGCACACACCCCGGACAUCAACAUAAAAACAAACAAAUCACUCAAACCAUAAAAUCCAUAAUGCACCUAAAAAGAAUGUUGAUAAAUCAUAAGUAUUCCGAGAUAUAUAUAAAUGCAUAUGACGAACAGCUAUAUUAAACCGACUUCAACAUCUAACCAGUCACACCAAAAUGAAAAUAUGAAGUAAUCGUACAAUAAGAAUGUCUUUAAAAUUAAACGUUCAUUACGAAAGACAAUAAAAAAUAACACUGAAAUUUAAACAUUCUAAUAUUUCAAUAAAUAUGCUGGAGGUACUAUCUCCAGGAAGU